GAGGAGCAGGAGGUGGUAGACAAUGCAACAGGAGAUCACGGCGAGGGUGGUCCAAGUCUAGGAUGAGAGAUUUGAGCAAGAUCAGAUGUUAUCGAUGUGACGAGUUGGGACAUCUAGCUAGAGAUUGCUCUCAACUCAGGGAUCGGACGAGGGCUACUACAGUGACGGUCAGUAGCGACUCAAAGGGUGAUGUCCUGAAGAUAUCUGACAAAAUAUCUAUUUUUUUUCAGUAGUGAAUUUUGGAUUCUGCAUGCAUCUAUCAUAUAUGUUGCAGAGAGAAGCAGUUUGACUCGCUGGAGAGCAGUGAGGGUCUGUCUAAUAGAUUGAGCUGUGCAAUCAGAGAUAUCGGUAUGGUUAGCUAGAAGACACAUGAUGGUGCAGUGAGG
rnacentral:lncRNA from 1 species